GCCCGCUUGGCUCAGUGGUAGAGCGUGUCACUAGUAAUGACAAGGUCAUUGGUUCGAUUCCAAUAGUGGGCA
rnacentral:tRNA from 2 species